CCGACGAUAGCUCAGUUGGUAGAGCGGAGGACUGUAGUGGUUAAUGCUGUCAUCCUUAGGUCGGUGGUUCAAAUCCGCCUCGUCGGA
rnacentral:tRNA from 1 species